AUGGCCGGGGAAGGAGACGAUGUGAAGCUGCUGGGCACGGUGGUGAGCCCGUUCGCGGUCCGCGUGCGCAUGGCCCUGCACCUCAAAGGUGUGAGCUACGAGGACCUGGAGCAGGACGUGUUCGACAAGGGCGAGCUCCUCCUCGCAUCCAACCCGGUGCGCAAGAAGGUCCCCGUGCUCAUCCACGACGGCAGGCCCAUCUGUGAGUCGCUCGUCAUCGUCGAGUACGUCGACGAGGUCUGGGCCGGCGCGGCCCCGCUCCUCCCCACCGACCCCCACGGCCGCGCCGACGCGCGCUUCUGGGCAGCCUACGUCGACGACAAGGUGGUCACCGCGAUGUUAGGCAUCCUGCGCGCGACCACCGAUGUGGAGCGGGCGGAGAGGCCCGACGCCGCGCUCGCGGCGGUCAGGCCCUUGGAGGACGCCUUUGCCGAGUGCUCUGGCGUCAAGGCCUUCUUCGCCGGCGACUCUGUCGGGUACCUCGACCUCGCGCUCGGGUGCCAUCUCUUCUGGUUCGAGGCGCUCCGCGAGAUGUUCGACGUGAUGAUCAUCGACGCCGGCAGGACUCCGCGCUUGGCCGCCUGGGCUGGGAGGUUCGCGGAGACAGAGACGGCCAAGAAGGCGGCGUCACCCAUUAAGAGCAUAGUGGAAUACGCCGGGAAGCUGCGGGCUAUCUGGGCUGCCAUUGCCGCGGCUGCCAAGUAA
rnacentral:rRNA from 1 species